CACCGCGGUUAUACGAGAGACCCAAGUCGAUGGCCUUCGGCGUAAAGCGUGGUUAGGAGAAACCCAAAACUAAAGGUAAACGGUCCCAAAGCUGUUAUACGCUCAUGAGACUCUGAAACUCAACUACGAAAGUGACUUUAAACCCCUGACCCCACGAAAGCUAUGGUA
rnacentral:rRNA from 1 species